AACCAGAGACACUGGAAUAUAAUGACCUCUCUGCUAUAAUUUAGCUAACGAUUUUAAAUUAUGUUAUGUAGCUAUCUUGUGAUGAAGCGAGGCAGGCUAGCAAAAGUUUUAGCUAACGUUAAGAGUAGCUAGCUAAUUACCUCAUUACAACAUAGUUAGGUUGUAGCUCAUACUAGUUUACUGUGUAUUGUCUGGAUACUGUUGGUUAUGUCACGUUAUCAUUUGAUAAUGUUAGUGAGGAAGGCUAGCUAGCUAAUGUUAGCCUACAAGUCAGUCUACAUCUGUAAAGCAUAGAAUUAGGGGUUCCACUAGUUACCGCAGCCACAAAGUCCAAAUGGACUAGAAUAACAAUGGUUAAAAACAAAAAUUAGUUUAAUGUAAGGUUAGGCAUAAGGUGGUUGACAUUGCUUGUCCAAAUAUAUAUAUUCUUAAUUCUAUUCCUUUAAUUUAGAUGUGUGUUGUGAAAUUGUUAGAUAUUUCUGUACUGUUGGUUGGAGUUAGAAACACAUGCAUUUCUCUACACCAGCAAUAACAUCUGCUAAACGCGUGUAUGUGACCAAUAAAAUUAGAUUCUUAGGUUCGCAGUGUGGUUAGGAUAAGAGAAAUUGUAGAAAUAGGCAGUGUUUAUGACUUUGUGGCUGUGUUAACUAGUGACAAUCUAUAACUAAAUUGACCCAAGGUACUGCCCUGAUGACACAGACGGCUUCAUCAACAAUGUGUUAUGUGGAAAGUUUUAUUAAAACAUACCGUUUGAUAAACUAGUAGGUUAAUUACCCAGCCAAGCAGAUACAAAUAGUACAGUCAUUUUUGUGAAGUGCAUUAUCAAAAGGCGUUGUCCUUUAUAACAAAAUGCUAUUUACCACUUGGCUGUCUAUUGUAUCACCCUGUCACAGGCCCUCCCAGUCAACACCACCUCAUAAGAUGAGGACGUACGUUGUUUAUGAGGAUUGCCUUCUGCAGUUGUUUGAGAGAUUGCCAGUUUGCAGCAGAACAUGCAACAUAGAGAAGACCAGCAAGGGGACCCUCAGCAUCACACAGACAUGCCCCUCGCUGUGAGCAUUCCUAUAAAACGGAACAGGGAGGACACUUGAAUCAGUAUCUUUGAGGGGUCAGGAGCUCAUCAAUGCUGCGAUGCCCAUCAAUGGGGCACUGGCAAAGAACUUGCUUCUUGCCUCCUCACCAAUGGUCGUCGAUGGGGAGACAAGAAUUAGAAACAUGUAUGGAGCCAGCACAUGGAGACUUGCAAGAUGACGUGAUGAAGUCUGAUGUCUCUAAAUGGACCUGGCACUCUGCAUACAUUUUUUACUACAACCUUUACUUGUAUUGUCUUUUUUUAUUAUUGGGUUGACUGGUAUCAGUCAGUAUGGGGAGGGAGAAACUCUAUGUAUUCUGCACCAGGAUCAAGGAACUCCUGUUUUAUAUGGGACACCACACAGGAAGGUACACUGGCAUGUUAGCCAAGGUAGCCCCAUUACCACCAGACAAAAUGCAGAUAGGCACAGUAUCUGUAUCGGCUUGGAAUGACAAUGAAAGGUGUAUUUUGUUAUACUGUAUUUGCAAAACACUGCUUAUAUUGUAUUAUUUAAAGGGUUGUUUAUUCUGCAUGGAUCUGUAACUACAUUUGAAAGUUAUCAAAACACUUUGUUUAGAAUAUCUACAUAAAUUCAACAAUUGCAUUCUUCUCAUAUUACUCUGAAGACUACUGACCUGUUUCCUCCGGCAUCUCCUCAUACAUCUGCCUGUAGUUAUUGAACUCCAGCUGCCGGGGUUUGUUUGUGGUUAUUGAGU